rnacentral:rRNA from 1 species
UGCAAGUCGGACGGGAUUGGAGAGCUUGCUUUCCAUGAGAGUGGCGCACGGGUGCGAAACACGUAUGUAACCUACCCUUAUCAGGGGGAUAGCCUCUCGGAAAGAGAGAUUAAGCCCGCAUAAUAUUACCUCAUAGCAUUGUGGAGUAAUCAAAUAUUUAUAGGAUAAGGAUGGGCAUGCGGAACAUUAGCUAGUUGGUAAGGUAAUGGCUUACCAAGGCUACGAUGUUUAGGGGAUCUGAGGGGAUGACCCCCCACACUGGUACUGAGACACGGACCAGACUCCUACGGGAGGCAGCAGUAAGGAAUAUUGGUCAAUGGGCGGAAGCCUGAACCAGCCAUGCCGCGUGCAGGAAGACGGCCCUACGGGUUGUAAACUGCUUUUGCAGGGGAAUAAACCUCCGGUCGUGACCGGAGCUGAAUGUACUCUGAGAAUAAGGAUCGGCUAACUCCGUGCCAGCAGCCGCGGUAAUACGGAGGAUCCAAGCGUUAUCCGGAUUUAUUGGGUUUAAAGGGUGCGUAGGCGGCCUAUUAAGUCAGGGGUGAAAGACGGUAGCUUAACUAUCGCAGUGCCUUUGAUACUGAUGGGCUUGAAUAUACUAGAGGUAGGCGGAAUGUGACAAGUAGCGGUGAAAUGCAUAGAUAUGUCACAGAACACCAAUUGCGAAGGCAGCUUACUAUGGUAUUAUUGACGCUGAGGCACGAAAGCGUGGGGAUCAAACAGGAUUAGAUACCCUGGUAGUCCACGCCCUAAACGAUGAAUACUCGAUGU